rnacentral:rRNA from 1 species
UACGUAGGGCGCAAGCGUUAUCCGGAAUUAUUGGGCGUAAAGAGCUCGUAGGCGGUUUGUCGCGUCUGCCGUGAAAGUCCGGGGCUCAACUCCGGAUCUGCGGUGGGUACGGGCAGACUAGAGUGAUGUAGGGGAGACUGGAAUUCCUGGUGUAGCGGUGAAAUGCGCAGAUAUCAAGGAGGAACACCGAUGGCGAAGGCAGGUCUCUGGGCAUUAACUGACGCUGAGGAGCGAAAGCAUGGGGAGCGAACAGG